rnacentral:rRNA from 1 species
CCUACGGGUGGCAGCAGUGAGGAAUAUUGGUCAAUGGGCGAGAGCCUGAACCAGCCAAGUCGCGUGAGGGAGUACUGCCCUAUGGGUUGUAAACCUCUUUUGUCGGGGAGCAAAAGCCGGACCUGUCCGGCUGUUCGAGUACCCGAAUAAAAAGCAUCGGCUAACUCCGUUACAGCAGCCGCGGUAAUACGGGGGAUGCGGACGUUAUCCGGGUUUUUUGGGUUUUAAGGGUGCGGAGGCGGGUUUUUAAGUCAGCGGUAAAAUCGUGGGGCUCAACCCCAUCCAGCCGUUGAAACUGGGGAUCUAGAGUGUGCGAGAGGUAUGCGGAAUGCGUGGUGUAGCGGUGAAAUGCAUAGAUAUCACGCAGAACCCCGAUUGCGAAGGCAGCAUACCGGUGCACAACUGACGCUCAGGCACGAAAGCGUGGGUAUCGAACAGGAUUAGAUACCCCGGUAGUC